AAGGUUAUAUGAUCAAGUAAAGGAAGGCCAACAAGGCGGAAUGCCUUGGCAGCAUAAGGCGAUGAAGGACGUAAUAACCCUGCGAUAAGCCUCGGGGAGCUGGUAAAUAAGCUUCGAUCCGAGGAUUU
rnacentral:rRNA from 1 species